rnacentral:rRNA from 3 species
AAUCCAUAGGUUAAUGAGGCGAACCGGGGGAACUGAAACAUCUAAGUACCCCGAGGAAAAGAAAUCAACCGAGAUUCCCCCAGUAGCGGCGAGCGAACGGGGAGGAGCCCAGAGCCUGAAUCAGCAUGUGUGUUAGUGGAAGCGUCUGGAAAGGCGCGCGAUACAGGGUGACAGCCCCGUACACAAAAGCGCAUGUGCUGUGAGCUCGAUGAGUAGGGCGGGACACGUGGUAUCCUGUCUGAAUAUGGGGGGACCAUCCUCCAAGGCUAAAUACUCCUGACUGACCGAUAGUGAACCAGUACCGUGAGGGAAAGGCGAAAAGAACCCCGGCGAGGGGAGUGAAAAAGAACCUGAAACCGUGUACGUACAAGCAGUGGGAGCCCCACCACCAAAGCAUUUGCUGUACCGCGUUGACGGAGCGAAGCGACGUCAAACCGAUAAAACAGCAGUGUAAAGUGAGCCGCAGGGCGCUUUGCGCGACAGCGCAAAGGCAGGCGGUUUCGCGUAGCGAAAGCGAAUGCUUUGGGGUGGGGUGACUGCGUACCUUUUGUAUAAUGGGUCAGCGACUUAUAUUCUGUAGCAAGGUUAACCGAAUAGGGGAGCCGGAGGGAAACCGAGUCUUAAUUGGGCGUUAAGUUGCAGGGUAUAGACCCGAAACCCGGUGAUCUAGCCAUGGGCAGGUUGAAGG